UUUAAUUGAAGAGUUUGAUCAUGGCUCAGAUUGAACGCUGGCGGCAGGCCUAACACAUGCAAGUCGAGCGGUAACAUUUCAAAAGCUUGCUUUUGAAGAUGACGAGCGGCGGACGGGUGAG
rnacentral:rRNA from 2 species